UACGUAGGGGGCAAGCGUUGUCCGGAAUCAUUGGGCGUAAAGAGCGCGUAGGCGGUCCGGUAAGUCCGCUCUGAAAGUCCGGGGCUCAACCCCGCGUCAGCCAUGGAUACUGGGCGGCUGGAGACAGGUAGAGGCAAGCGGAAUUCCGGGUGUAGCGGUGGAAUGCGUAGAUAUCCGGAAGAACACCGGAGGCGAAGGCGGCUUGCUGGACCUGGUCUGACGCUGAGGCGCGAAAGCGUGGGGAGCGAACAGG
rnacentral:rRNA from 1 species